CUAAACUUCUACCUGACUUUGACAAGAUUGGAGAGAGCCUCAGUUCCCUGAAGGGCUUUUUCUCACCUGGUUACAAUUUGGUUAGUGAAGUCAUAGGAGCUUCUGAUCUGCUUCUCUUGUUAGGUUCCCAAGGAGAAACAGCAUUCAGAGCUACAGACCAGGGAUAUGAAAAUGACAAACAGUACAAAAAGGU